UCUUCAUCUGUCUGAGCUUCAGUCCUUGCCCAUAUAAUGGGGAUCUUAAUACCUCCUCACCUUGGAAGGACGUUAGGAGAAAUGCACUGAGAUGCUGUGGUCGCGGGGGCCAGACGGGUGCAUCAAAUAGCAAGCUGUGAAGUGGAGCAGUCGCAUAGCAGAGAGCCUAUGAGUGACUAUCUAAACUGCAGCUAGAAAGACAGAGAUGAAGAUGGCAAUGCCACCAGGCAUGCCAUUACCCAGGCAGGGUGAAGUUUGGAACUGCCAUCAUGGAAAAAAUACCUGGCCAUGUUAAGGUGGAAAAAAUGGAGAUGCUAAGUCCCAGAUGCAUCGGACGGUGUUGUAAGCCCAGUGGACAUUCAAGAACCGUCUGUCAUUUAUAUUACUGAUAGGCAGCCUCUGCCCUCCAAGCUGAUUGCAGAUGUCAGCUGUACCUUUCACACGCCUGAUUGCAUUCACAUUCCACAGGUUAUUCAGCCGCCUCAAUGGCU